rnacentral:tRNA from 1 species
AAGGUCCUAGCUUAAUUAAAGUACCUGAGUUGCAUCCAGGGGAUGCAGGAUAGCGGCCUGCGGACUUUA